CCCUUGCCGUGCGCAGGCCGCUGGAAACACCUCAGACCCCUCGCCGUGCGCAGGCCGCUGGAAACACCACAGACCCCUCGGGGAGGCAGGCAGAGUCCUCCGCGGUGCCUGCAGGAGCCCAGGGCAACAGUCCCCUGCUGGAUAGAGGAGCAUUAGCCCCGGAACAACUAGAGUCACUCACCCUGCAGAGCUGAGCAAUCUCUUCUGCUUUCAAAGCUCAUGAGACACAAGUGAGGGCUCUGAAGAAAUGAUGCUGAAUCCCUUUGGAUUGUGCCAAGAUGCUUCCACUUGCUGAGGAACACGUUUGGUAUUGUCAGCUUGGUGUGCAGCUGAAGAGCAAAUGACUGGACACUCAGAGACAUAGCAGGAGCCAACGAUGCCAGGCUUUGGCACACUUAGACUGGGAGGCUAUAAAAGCUGAAGGUUUCCAUUCUUGCGGGUCCUUCCUUGAAGGCACACAGCUCAAGUUGUUUUUUUGUUGUUGCACCAUGAUGAAAUUAUUUUAAGGAUCCUGACGUCUGAGAGUCUGCUAUGCAAAAUCUGGGGAUGAGCUGACCACUUCAGAGAAGGGAAGAAGAAGUGGCAGACUGCAUUUUGAACCUAUCAGUCAUGGUGUAAAACUGAAAAGUUUCUAAGUCACUGCAAAUUCUAAGUUCCCUUGAAUGUUCUUUAGAUACUCCAACCCCUAAACCUCAGCAGAAGUCAGAGGUAAUGAUAGUCUGAAAAGUCUAAACUACUUGAUCGGGGGAUUGCAGCUGAUAAGUACAAGCUGAUACCUUGCAAAAUUUUGCCUAUUUAUAAAUGAGCUUUUUCCCCGGCUUUCCUCAGUGCCAGUUGAGUGCAAGUGUUGGCAAGAUCCACGCUAGUUUGUCUGGACUCUGAACCACUUUGCUGAAUACUUAAUCAAGCUGCUCGCCUCCCUUUCCCAACAGAGGCCAUUUAUACAGCAAGAGAAUCAGCUGGUCGAUGAAGCAGACAAGUGGAGCAGGGGAGAGGGAGCAAGCUCUUUGAAUGGGAUGAGAACACAGCCACCGGCACCUCAAGAAAGUUUAUCUGUCUCCAGUGCCAAGCAUACACAGUGCUAAUCUUUUGUUGCCAUGAAUAUUCAAGCCCAGCUGCCAGCAACAGAGGGAGCAGCUGCAGUGGCAGAGCUGGCAGGUCCCCUCGUGGUGCCCUCACUUGCCGACCCUGGCAUCUGGGUCUGUCUGGGUGUGGGGAGGGGGAGAUGCUGCUUGCAUUGCAGACAGCAGACAACAAGCCAUUCAGCAGCCCAGCCCCACGCUUCCUAAGCAGCAAGGAGUCAGGAACACACUCGGCCUGGAGAGCCCAGGACUGUCCUCUCUUGCUAACAUGGGUAUGCCAGAUGUUCCUGAUGUUUGGGGUCAUGUGAAGCCCUGGAGGGAAGAGGUGAGUCUGGGAUAAGAAAGAGCAACAGCUGGGGCAAUCUAAGAUUGAAGGACGUCUGCUGCUGCUUGGAGAAAUUAGUGAGACAAAACCCUGCAGGCUCCCUGGGAAGCUAGGCAUACACAGCCCUAGGCAGAUCACAAGUCUCGUGGCUUAUUUGGCAAAGGUGCCUAUUUGUUACACAGGGUGGGCUGGUGAAUGCCAUUACAACAAUGCAGCACUGGUCACAGUUGCAGGUGAAUGCUGCUGCGGUGUGAGGGAAGAGUUGAAGGAUUUUUGUCACACAAGGUGGGAAGCAGCAGUAGGAGGAAGCCAUGAACUCUCCUCAGAAGACCAACCUGUGCUUCUCCACAAUUUAGGGCAGCAUUUCAGGAACAGGGCAAUGUAAGAGCAAGUUUUUGCCUCAGCAUACUCCAUAGGGGCAGAUAAAUGCAUUGGUACAAGUGUUAAGAGACUACAUCUAUGCUUCCAAGGCAUCACUCCACCCAGCACCAAAGUCAUCAGAGGCUGUAAUGACCCUGCCUCGGCACAGAAGAUCACUGAGACCCACUUUGCUUAGAUUUCCCUGGUAAUGCAAUAAAAUAUUCUAGGGAAAAAAUACAUGAAGAAAACAAACAAACCAAAAAGAAAAAAUGUCUGGGGAAGGCAAGACCAAGCUUCAAGAAACACCUGAGACACAGAUUACUUCCCACCAAACCCAGAGUGGUCACUGUCAUAGAGCUUUGGGAGGCUGGAGACUGCUGCUGAACUUUUUGCUUCUGUGUGAUGAAGGUGGCUCCUGGAGCUCUUGCUAUGGUCAGCUGUCAACUGCUGACAUUCAAAAAUGUUCAUUCUCAUUCUUCUGAGGCUCUAAUUCCCUUCAGGAAAGCAGAGCAUCAAUACAUCCCCAUUACAAUGCCACAAGCACAACAUUGCCUCACCAGAACUGAAAAUUUCCUGUCUCUGGCACAUAACUUUCCAUCAAGCACAGGCAUACAGCCACAAACCAAACCAGUUAUCCAGGCCUCCUUGGUACAGGGCCUAGAACCGUGGAGUAGUGGAUAUUGCUAGAAAAACUACCAGAAACAGGGCUAGACAGGUAUGCUAAGAGAGGCAACAGCCUUUGAAGGCUAGAGGUGGACAUUGUGCAGUUAGCUAUUGAUCUCCAAGAAACAGGGGACGGUUUCUCCAAGAAACAAGAGGAUCAGACCUGAUCAUCUGGGGGUUUGCAUCCCCACAACACUUUCUGUAGGCAGCCCAUAAGGAAAAAUGAGCCAUAGGCCUGCCUUGGGAUUUACAUUUUAGAACACCUCAUGGACCAGGGUAAGCACUCUUAAGCAAGUAGUAAUGCAACACUGCAAAAUAAAAAAGACAUGAUCUCUUGAUGAUGUUGAACUUUCCAGUCCUCAAUCCUGUCUCUUUCCUUCCAAAUUAAAAAAUAAAGUCUAUACUAACUGUAUUUUCAAAUAGGACACCUCAGACAAAGAGGGAAAUGUAGGAAUAAAGAUAAGAGAAAUCA